rnacentral:ncRNA from 1 species
AAUUUAUAAAGAAGAGGCGAGAGAAUAGGCUCCGUGACCCUCUGGCAACCACUUAUAAAGGAAGGUGCCAAAUCCUAUCCCGGCAAAGCGGGAACAUAUAAAUU